GGCUGGGUGGUGUAACGGUAACACAUCAUCUUGAUUCAAACCUUUCUUGAAUUUCAGAGGAAACUCCUUGUUCGACUCAAGGCCUGGCCA